rnacentral:rRNA from 1 species
GACGAACGCUGGCGGCGUGCUUAACACAUGCAAGUCGAACGAUGAAGAAAAGAAUUGAAGCUUCGGCAGAAAUUCAUUUCGGAUUAGUGGCAGACGGGUGAGUAACGCGUGAGCAACCUACCUCUUACAAAGGGAUAGCCUCGGGAAACCGGGAUUAAUACCAUAUAACAUUGCGACGAAGCAUUUCGAUGCAAUCAAAGCUACGGCGGUAAGAGAUGGGCUCGCGUCCCAUUAACCAGAUGGUGAGGUAACGGCUCACCAUAGUAACGAUGGGUAACCGGCCUGAGAGGGUGAACGGUCACACUGGAACUGAGACACGGUCCAGACUCCUACGGGAGGCAGCAGUGGGGAAUAUUGCACAAUGGAGGGAACUCUGAUGCAGCGACGCCGCGUGAGUGAUGAAGGAAUUCGUUUCGUAAAACUCUGUUCUUUGGGAAGAAAAGGACUGUACCAUAGGAGAAAGCUCCGGCUAAAUACGUG